rnacentral:rRNA from 1 species
CGUAGGUAAUCUGCCCUUCAGGGGAGAACAACUCAUCGAAAGGUGAGCUAAAUCUCCGUAACGUUUAACCACGGCAUCGUGGACUAACCAAGUUUUCUGAGGGAUGAGCCUGCGUCUGAUUAGCUAGUUGGUAGUGUAAUGGACUACCAAGGCUACGAUCAGUAGCUGGUCUGAGAGGAUGAUCAGCCACAUUGGGACUGAGACACGGCCCAG